rnacentral:rRNA from 1 species
GACGAACGCUGGCGGCGUGCUUAACACAUGCAAGUCGAACGGAAAGGCCCUGCUUUUGUGGGGUGCUCGAGUGGCGAACGGGUGAGUAACACUUGAGUAACCUGCCCUUGACUUUGGGAUAACUUCAGGAAACUGGGGCUAAUACCGGAUAGGAGCUCCUGCUUCAUGGUGGGGGUUGGAAAGUUUCGGCGGUUGGGGGUGGACUCGCGGCUUAUCAGCUUGUUGGUGGGGUAGUGGCUUACCAAGGCUUUGACGGGUAGCCGGCCUGAGAGGGUGACCUGACACAUUGGGACGGGGAUGCGGCCCAGACUCCUACGGGAGGCAGCAGUGGGGAAUAUUGCACAAUGGGAGGAAGCAUGAUGCAGCAAAGCCGCGUGGGGGAUGACGGCCUGCGGGUUGUAAACUGCUUUCGCCUGUGACGAAGCGUGAGUGACGGUAAUGGGUAAAGAAGCACCGGCUAACUACGUG